UACGUAGGGUGCGAGCGUUGUCCGGAAUUAUUGGGCGUAAAGAGCUCGUAGGCGGUUUGUCGCGUCUGCUGUGAAAACUGGAGGCUCAACCUCCAGCCUGCAGUGGGUACGGGCAGACUAGAGUGCGGUAGGGGGAGAUUGGAAUUCCUGGUGUAGCGGUUGGAAUGCGCAGAUAUCAGGAGGAACACCGAUGGCGAAGGCAGAUCUCUGGGCCGUAACUGACGCUGAGGAGCGAAAGCAUGGGGAGCGACAGG
rnacentral:rRNA from 1 species